UCCAGCGGGUUGGAGCGGCGGCAGUGGAGGGGACGCGCGGGCUGGCGAACUGACGGGCGGACGGGCCAUGUCGCCCCGCACCUGCUGAACUGGAGCACCCGAGGAUGUCUACGCUGAGGAAGGCCUUCCCACCAUCCGAGGCCCAGCCGUAGCAGCCCGGUUUCCCAGCAGCUGCCCGUGAACACCUGGCCCGCACUGGCUCCGCCACCAUGGGGACUGCUCAGGUUUUGCCCGGCAUUCUGCAGAAGCAUUGCUGUAUCUUACCAGACAGGAACACAGGUCACUUACAGUAAGACAAUUUUCUUAAUUUGUCACUGCAUUCAUCUCCAUAUCUGGAAACUGAAAAAAUUCACAACAAUGGCAGAAGACCACAAGAAGUUCUGUUACUGUUUACCUAUUUAUUUUGUCAUCUUGAAUCAAAAACAUUGAAAAGUGAAAUUAAACAUCUAUAAAAUAUUUGGUCUGACUCAGAUUUCUUCUCUUUUAACUUCAGCUUUGUUAAGGAAUAAGUGACAUAAAAUUGUGAGAUAUAUGUGUGUGUCACAGUGAUUUGGUAGAGGUAUGUACUGUAAGGGAAUCCCCACUAUUAUAGUUAAUUAACAUACCUAUCAUCUCACAUAUUUAUCCAUUUUUGUUGGUGGUGAGACAUUUAAGUUAUACUCUCUUCGCAAAUGUCAGUGAUACAAUGCAGUGUUAUCACCUGUUCAGAUC